rnacentral:rRNA from 1 species
GAUGAACGCUGGCGGCGUGCCUAAUACAUGCAAGUCGAGCGAACAGAUGAGGAGCUUGCUCCUCUGACGUUAGCGGCGGACGGGUGAGUAACACGUGGAUAACCUACCUAUAAGACUGGGAUAACUUCGGGAAACCGGAGCUAAUACCGGAUAAUAUAUUGAACCGCAUGGUUCAAUAGUGAAAGACGGUUUUGCUGUCACUUAUAGAUGGAUCCGCGCCGCAUUAGCUAGUGGGUAAGGUAACGGCUUACCAAGGCAACGAUGCGUAGCCGACCUGAGAGGGUGGUCGGCCACACUGGAACUGAGGCACGGUCCAGACUCCUACGGGAGGCAGCAGUAGGGAAUCUUCCGCAAUGGGCGAAAGCCUGACGGAGCAACGCCGCGUGAGUGAUGAAGGUCUUCGGAUCGUAAAACUCUGUUAUUAGGGAAGAACAAAUGUGUAAGUAACUAUGCACGUCUUGACGGUACCUAAUCAGAAAGCCACGGCUAACUACGUG